AACAUUGAGCUGAAGGUUGAAGUGGAGAGUUUGAAACGAGAACUCCAGGACAAGAAACAGCAUCUGGAUAAAACAUGGUAAGUUGUAAUUUUAAGCUCUGGUCCUUUCCAGAGUCUGUCUUACUAAUCUGAGAGCAAUAGAUUUAGAACCAAAUUCCUUAACCUAUCUGUGGCAUUUGAAUCCUGUGUCUGAUUCAGGAACUGAAACAAUAGAUUUUCAUAUGCUGUGUUUCCCUUGGGCUCUCUCUCUAUUACUAGGUCAGAUGGACCUUGUCAUAAGUUGGUAAAUCCACCAGGCCUAAGAUUGCAAACUUCCUAUUAGUCAGCAAUCAACUAAAUUGAAACAGUGAAUGUUUCCACUUUUAGUAGAGACAAAUGCAAAUAAGCUUUAUCAAACAGUAUCAGUCAGCCUAUAAUAACAUCAAGAGCUGAGAUAACGUUUGGGGAAAAUGGGCACUCUCAUACACUACCAGUGAGUGUAAAUUGUGACAACAUUUUUAGUAUGUGAUGCUACCUAUUAUAGUAAAAAAGGAGGAUUUCCUUUGAUCAAACAAUCCCUAGAAGGAAUCUGUUUCUUAUAAAUAAAAGCGUUAGUGUGAAAGGAUAAAUGUAUAAGGAUGUUUAUUGCAUCAUUAGUUGUAAUGGCAAAAAACUAGGAACAAUUAUCCAUCAACAGGGCAUUGAUUGAAUAAAUUUUGGUAUUACUACACUGUGGACUAUUAUGCAGUUAUUGAAGAAUGAGUUCGCUCUAUAUUAUUGUCCUAGUGGGAAUUCCUUGAUUAAAGUAAGGGGGAAAAGUUGCUGAGUGAUAAUUAUAGUAUAUUGAGGAAGAGUGAGAUCACAGUCCGUGAUAGGGAGAAGACUUGAUAUUUUUCUUUAUAUACAUUUAUAUUGCUAAAAUAGUUACUUUUAUAAUUUACAGUUUUUUAAAAGCUUAGUGUUAAAUGACAAGUAUUACUAAAAUUAUUAAAAAUAUUUUCAGACUUCAAUAAAGUUUCAGAAUACAAAAAUUAAUGUACAAAAAUCAGUAGCAUUUCACCAGGCACGGUGGCUCACGCCUGUAAUCCCAGCACUUUGGGAGGCCGAGGUGGGUGGAUCACGAGGUCAGGAGAUCAAGACCAUCCUGGCUAACACGGUGAACCCCGUCUCUACUAAAAAUACAAAAAAAAAAAUUAGCCAGGUGUGGUGGCAGUCGCCUGUAGUCCCAGCUACUUGGGAGGCUGAGGCAGGAGAAUGGCGUGAACCCGGGAGGCGGAGCUUGCAGUGAGCCGAGAUCAUGCCACUGCACUCCAGCCUGGGCGACAGAGCCAGACUCCGUCUCAAAAAAAAAAAAAAAAAAUCAGUAGCAUUUCUACACACCAAUAACAUUCAAGCUGAGAGCCAAAUCAAGAAUGCAAUCCCAUUUACAAUAUCCGCUAAAAAAAAAAUACCUUGGAAUACAUCUAACCAAGGAGGUGAAAGAUCUCUACAAGGAGAACUACGAAACACUGCUAAAAGAAAUCAUAGAUGACACAAACAAAUGGAAAAACAUUCCAUGCUCAUGGAUUGGAAGAAUCAAUAUCAUUAAAAUGGCCAUACUGCCCAAAGUAAUCUACAGAUUCAACACUAUUCCUAUCAAACUACCAAUGUCAUUCAUCAAAUGACCAAGAUCAAAGCCAGAGGCAUCACACUAUCCAACUUCAAACUAUACUACAAGGCUACAGUUGCCAAAACAGCAUGUUGCUGGAAAAAAAAAAGACACAUAGACCAAUGGAAGCAAAUAGAGAACCCAAAAAUAAAGCUACACACCGACAGCAAUCUGGUCUUUGACAAAAUCAACAAAAAUAAGCAGUGGGGAAAGCACUCCCCUAUUCGAUGGUGGUGGGAUAGAUAACUGGCUAGCCAUAUGCAAAAGAAUGAAACUGGGCCCCUACCUUUCAGCACAUAUAAAAAUUAACUCAAGAUGGAGUAAAGAUGUAAAUGUAAGACCUCAAACUAUAAGAAUCCUAGAAGAAAACCCAAGAAACACCAUUCUGGACAUUGGCCUCAGGAAUUUAUGACUAAGUCCUCAAAAGCAAUUGCAACAAAAACAAAAAGAGACAAGUCGGAUUUAUUUAAACUAAAGAGUUUUGCACAGCAAAAGAAACUAUCAACAGAGUAAACAGACAACCUGUAGAAUCUAAUAAAAUUUGCAACUAGCAUCUGAAAAGGGUCUAAUAUCCAGAAUCCAUAAGGAAUUUAACAAUUGAACAAUGAAAAACAAAUAACCCCGUUAAAAAAAUGAGCAAAAGGCAUGAUCAAACACUUUUCAAAAGAAGACAUACAAAUGCCCACCAAAUAUAUGAAAAAUUGCUCCACAUCACUAAUCAUCCGAGAAAUAUAAAUCAAAACCACAAUGAGAUACCAUCUCACACCAGUCAGAAUGGCUACUAUUAAAACGUCUAAAAACAACAGAUGCCGGUGAGGCUGCAUAGAAAUGGGAAUGCUUACACGCUGUUGGUGGAAAUAUAAACCAGUUCAGUCACUGCAGAAAGCAGUUUGGAGAUUUAUCAAAGAACAACCUUAAUGGUUCCACUUGCUAAACUGUAUGUCUGGCUCUGAUUGGCUAAUGCUCUGUGGUUUUAGGGCUGAUGUGGAGAAUCUCAACAGUCAGAAUGAAGCUGAGCUCCGACGCCAGUUUGAGGAGCGACAGCAGGAGACGGAGCAUGUUUAUGAGCUCUUGGAGAAUAAGAUCCAGCUUCUGCAGGAGGAAUCCAGGCUAGCAAAGAAUGAAGCUGCGCGGAUGGCAGCUCUGGUGGAAGCAGAGAAGGAGUGUAACCUGGAGCUCUCAGAGAAACUGAAGGGAGUCACCAAAAACUGGGAAGAUGUACCAGGAGACCAGGUCAAGCCCGACCAAUACACUGAGGCCCUGGCCCAGAGGGACAAGUAGGUGCCUUCCGUGCUCUUUUUGUCGCUUGUCUUUUGCCCAUUCUCAAGGCAUGCAGCAGCUGCCCUGUUCCCUUUCAAGGACUGACAGUAGGAGCUUCACUAUUUCUAAGACUUUAUGGGCCCACAACCGAAGACAUUCUUUUCAGGGUUGAAUUUUCAGUGGUAUCCAUUAUGAAAACUCACUUCAUGGAUUCAGUGGGCAAAUAGCGGCAAGCAAGAGACAUGGAUUCACUUAUUCAGAAAACAUUUACUGGGCAUGCCACAUGCCAGAUACCGGGCUAAGUAUCUGGCAUGUGUUACAGAAACAAAAGACCUAAAUCUUGUCACCAAGAAACAUGUUACAUGAUUUUAAUAAGUUCCCUGAUAGAAGAGCAUGGGGUGCUCUGGGGAAAUAUUGGAGGGUCAUCCAUUCCACAUUAAAAGAGCAAGUUGUC
rnacentral:sRNA from 1 species